rnacentral:lncRNA from 1 species
AAAGAUGGUGUUAGUACAUUUUCAAUAAAAGGUUAGUCAUCUUGUAGCUAAAAGCUAUUGAAAAAAAUAUCUAUUCAUUAAAUAAUUGGAUGAAAUAUUUGCUUUUAAAAACAUGUUGACCAAGUUAGAAACUGUUGCAUAAGUUGUGUGAACAUUCAUGUUUUUACAUUUAUUUGCUAAUUUAUAAGAAACAAUGUGUGCUUUGUUUUUUAUUAUAAAAUAUUACAAUGUGUGCUUUUUUUCAUUACAAAAACAAUAUAAUGCAUUUGUUUCUAAAAGAAUGUAAUAUAAUUGGAUAUUACAAGUUAUUUCCAGAAAGGAAAGAAUAUGAUGAAAAUCAUCAUAAUUAUCUAU